UGCUCCUUAUUACGAUCAGAAGG
rnacentral:miRNA from 9 species